AGCAGAGUUAACAGACUACCUUUAGAGACUGGAGCUGGGACUUGGUCCUGGGGGAGUGGAGAGAAAGAAAGGAAGAAGAAAAAGAAAAAAGAAAAGGUUUCAAAGUGCAAAAUGCCAGGGUUUUCAGGAGCAGAAAUGGACAGAUUACACACGGCGACAUUAAUGUUUUAAGGACCUGCUAAGACUGGGCCUGCCCUGACUGUCAUUUUCAGCGAGGGCUGCCCCAGGCACACCAGGUCACAGAGCGAGAUCACUGCAGGUCCAGAGCAGCAGUCAACUGGGGGCAC